rnacentral:rRNA from 1 species
UACGAAGGGGGCUAGCGUUGCUCGGAAUUACUGGGCGUAAAGCGCACGUAGGCGGCUCUUUAAGUCGGAGGUGAAAUCCUGGAGCUCAACUCCAGAACUGCCCUCGAUACUGAAGAGCUCGAGUCCGGGAGAGGUGAGUGGAACUGCGAGUGUAGAGGUGAAAUUCGUAGAUAUUCGCAAGAACACCAGUGGCGAAGGCGGCUCACUGGCCCGAUACUGACGCUGAAGCACGAAAGCGUGGGUAGCAAACAGG